rnacentral:rRNA from 1 species
ACUGCUCAGUAACACGUGGACAAUCUACCCUCGGGUCCGGCAUAAUCCUGGGAAACUGGGGAUAAUUCCGGAUAGGUCACCGAUGCUGGAAUGCGCGGUGGCCCAAAGCUCCGGCGCCCGAGGAUGGGUCUGCGGCCUAUCAGGGUUGUAGUGGGUGUAACGUACCUACUAGCCUACGACGGGUACGGGUUGUGAGAGCAAGAGCCCGGAGAUGGAUUCUGAGACACGAAUCCAGGCCCUACGGGGUGCAGCAGGCGCGAAAACUUUACAAUGCGGGAAACCGUGAUAAGGGAAUCUCGAGUGCCAGCAUAUAAUGUUGGCUGUCCAGAUGCCUAAAAAGCAUCUGUUAGCAAGGGCCGGGCAAGACCGGUGCCAGCCGCCGCGGUAACACCGGCGGCCCGAGUGGUAACCGCUUUUAUUGGGUCUAAAGGGUCUGUAGCCGGCCAGGUAAGUCCCUUGGGAAAUCUGGCAGCUCAACUGUCAGGCUGCUAGGGGAUACUGUUUGGCUUGGGACCGGGAGAGGUGAGAGGUACCUUGGGGGUAGGGGUGAAAUCUUGUGAUCCUCGGGGGACCACCAGUGGCGAAGGCGUCUCACCAGAACGGGUCCGACGGUAAGGGACGAAAGCUAGGGGCACGAACCGGAUUAGAUACCCGGGUAGUCCUAGCCGUAAACGAUGCUCGCUAGGUGUCAGUCACGGUGCGACCGUGAUUGGUGCCGUAGGGAAGCCGUGAAGCGAGCCACCUGGGAAGUAUGGCCGCAAGGCUGAAACUUAAAGGAAUUGGCGGGGGAGCAC